UAUGUAUUGUACAAUGAUAUGAAGUAAGAUAAAUAAAUAAAUAAAAUAAAAAUCCAUCGUACAAUGUCUUUCCAAAGAAAUAGAAAAUUGCUAAAGUUAUUCCGUUACACAAAAAAGGUGAUCGGUCAAAUACAAAUAACUACAGACCGAGUUCUAUCUGUCUUGCUUAUCAAUGGUUCUUGAAAGAUUAAUCCAUAAACAGCUAGUACAACAUUUAAAUUGUAAUAACGUUAUCACUUUGGACCAAUCAGGCUUCCAUUCUAGACAUUCUACAUCAACUGUCCUAAUCAAAGUCACGGAUGAUUGGUUAUGAGACCUUGAUGAUGGAAAAUACACAGGCGCGGUCUUUGUUGACCUCCAAAAAGCUUUUGAUAUGGUUAACAUUCAAUGUCUGCUUGAAACACUUAUAAGAGCUGGGAUUAAAGAAACGAAUUAGAACUGGUUUCAAAGCUACCUUUCAGAUAGAAAAAUUGUAACAUGUAUUCAUAACUGCAACUCUGAAGAAUUACCUAUCAGGCAUGGGGUUCCUCAUGGAUUGAUUUUAGGUCCGCUGCUUUUUAUAAUUUUUAUUAAUGAUUUACCUACUUUUUUCAAUUCUUGCAACAUCCAUCUCUAUGCAGAUGACACUGAUUUACUUUAAUCACAAAGAUCCCCACAUAGUUUCAACGUUAAAUAGAGAGUUGCUUGUUCUCGAUAGAUGGAUGGACACGAAUAUACUUAAAAUUAAUUAUGACAAAACAAUGUGCAUGCUUUUUGGAAAUAGACAUAUGCUAAAAAACACAAUAUACUAGAUAUACCAUCAAACAAGUAUCUUUAAUGAAAUACUUGGGUGUGUAUAUUGAUUCAGAACUGAAAUGGGAUGUUCAUGUUAAUCACUUAAGUGAAAAGGUGGGUCGUAUGAUUUUAUUCCUAC